rnacentral:sRNA from 1 species
AUCGCUUCUCGGCCUUUUGGCUAAGAUCAAGUGUAGUAUCU